GAGACGUGCAAAGGACCGCUCUUUCCAACGAUUCUUAUGGAUCGAAAGUAUUUUGCAGCCUUCUUCUUGCUUGCAAGGACAUGCUGUAGGGAAAGUCCCCGGACACAUCUGUUCAAGAAGAAGACCAAGGCGGGUGCAUCGCUAGUCUAAAUUUUUCACCGACCUUUCUGGAUCGAGGCGUGGUAACGGACGGAUUUGCGACGUGCAUCGCAGAUGCUCUAGGUAAUUGCUAGAUAUGCUGUCAGCAAGGAGCUUUCUGCGUGUCUUCUCGGGAGCGGCAAAGAGGUGUGUCGAAGCGAAGGUGUCGAGGAAGAUGUUUUGCAUGAUCAGAGACCAUACUGGAAAGCGACCGUCGCCGUAAUGGUGCGGAUACUUUAUGGCCAUCUUGCUAUUGUCUUUUCUUCAAACCUUUCGUCGGCGCUCUACCGCUGUGUCCUUCUGGAAGCUGCGCAUUCAAGGACUGUCUGCUUUGCUCGGCAGUGAUUCUGGCAAUUGCUGCUUGACAGUGUCUGUCUUGAUGAGCGUCGCGCUUUCUGGAGAUCGUCUCGAAAGAAGGUAUGGGGCUCAAUUUUUUCGGCAUGUUUUAAUCCCGUCGCUUGCUGGUCAUGCUUCGUUGUCGUUCGUUUUGUGGGUGGGGUUUGGCGUCAAGCGUACGGAUUAGGUGGGAUUAGAUGGCUGCAGGACAGGCAUUGAGGUGUUGUUAGGCGUGCUUCAGAGGAGGUUGACGAGUUGACUUGUACAGAGAAACUUGGACGAUGGUCUUGGGCGUUGCGAGUGGCGAAUGGGAGGCGAGCCAUGCGAAGAUAUGAGCGGCUUUCCUCACACCAAACCAUGCCAACCACUCACACGGUCUUGGACCAAGCGUCGAGGAUUCUCCUCCAUCAUUCAACUUGUAAGCCGUUUGACUCUGGAAAUACCGGCAUCAUCUGGACCGGCUUCGGUUGACUUGAUAUUUCUACGACACUCUGGUUCUUGCACGAAACCCCGCUACGCCUGCAAACCGGACGCGACACAUGCCAUCACUCGUGGUCUCCUGGAUCACAGUGGAUGAUGCUGACGCCUUGAUACGCGUCUUUGAUCUUGUUCGUCCUUAAACACUGAUAGUUAUGCGGUCGCCUUUUGCAUGGAAAGGUAACUCAACGGGGCUUACUCUUGCAUCGUCU
rnacentral:RNase_MRP_RNA from 2 species